rnacentral:rRNA from 1 species
UGCGUAGGCGGUCGGCAAAGUCUGAUGUGAAAUCUUCGGGCUCAACCCGGAAACUGCAUCGGAUACUGGUCGGCUAGAGGAUUGGAGGGGGGACUGGAAUUCUCGGUGUAGCAGUGAAAUGCGUAGAUAUCGAGAGGAACACCAGUGGCGAAGGCGAGUCCCUGGACAAUUCCCGACGCUGAGGCACGAAAGCUAGGGGAGCAAACA